rnacentral:rRNA from 1 species
UACGGAGGGUGCGGGCGUGUCCGGAAUCACUGGGCGUAAAGGGCGCGUAGGUGGCGCGGGCAGUCAACGGUGAAAGUUCGGGGCUCAACCCUGAAUCGGCCGUCGAUACUCCCGGGCUUGAGCACUGUAGAGGCUAAUGGAAUUCCGGGUGUAGCGGUGGAAUGCGUAGAGAUCCGGAAGAACACCGGUGGCGAAGGCGGUUAGCUGGGCAGUUGCUGACACUGAGGCGCGACAGCGUGGGGAGCAAACAGGG